UACGAAGGGGGCUAGCGUUGUUCGGAAUUACUGGGCGUAAAGCGCGCGCAGGCGGUUCUUCAAGUCAGUGGCGAAAGCCCGGAGCUCAACUCCGGAACUGCCAUUGAAACUGUAGAACUUGAGGAUGAGAGGGGUGAGUGGAAUUCCCAGUGUAGAGGUGAAAUUCGUAGAUAUUCGCAAGAACACCAGUGGCGAAGGCGGCUCACUGGCCCGGUACUGACGCUGAGGUGCGAAAGCGUGGGGAGCAAACAGG
rnacentral:rRNA from 1 species